ensembl:lncRNA
CCCAGCGGUAAAGUAUUCACCUGCAGUGAAGGAGACCCAGGAGACAUGGGUUCAAUCCCUGGGUUGGGAAGAUCCCCUGGAGGAGGAAAUGGCAACCUUGCUGGGAAAAUCUCAUGGACAGAGGAUCCUGCUGGGCUAUAGUUUAUAGGGUCACAAAGAUUCAGACACAACUGUAAUGACUGAGCACACACUCCUUAAAGUCAGAGCUCCUGUUCCCUUUCCUAGGAGGUAUGUAUCCAGCUUCUCCUGAGUUCUGCAGAUGUUUGUGGAACUUCUCGUAUGUAUUAAUCACUGGUAUACAGAGACAGUUUAAAAAUUCUCACAGUUCAGUGGAAAUGGUGCAUAUGUGGAGAGAUAAGCCCAACAACUGGAGAAGAAUUAAAUGGCAGUAGAAUUAGAGGGAGAGAAAAGGAAAAGUGCCUGCCCUCUGGGAAGCUGUGAGAAAACCCCCAAGAGAGACAACAUUCCAGUUAGUCUUUAAAUUGUAAGGCAAAAUUCACAAGCUCUGGAAAUUAGGACAUGGAUGUCUGGAGCCAUUAUUCCACCUAUCCUAGUGAGAGCUGCAAAGAUAAGAUCCCAAUGGAGCAGAAGCUAUGUAGCCUCUGGA